rnacentral:tRNA from 32 species
GGUCUCGUAGCUCAGCAGGAUAGAGCAUCAGAUUCCUAAUCUGAGGGUCACGCGUUCGAAUCGCGUCGAGAUCACCA